rnacentral:lncRNA from 1 species
CUGGCUUUGGCUGCUGUUACCGCUGCUAAAGACUGGAGCCCUGAGUCAGCUGAACCCAGGCUACUGUGAUCUACAUGCCAGGGCUCAACAAACUCCAAGACAAACAUAGAACUUCACAAAACAGCCCUGUGUCCCAAGACCCUCACAUGUGUGAAAGGCAAUAAACUCCUUAAUAUAACAAACUCCAGGACACUGCAAUCGACUUGGGAAGAACUAACUAUUUUAGUAAAAGCAAGAGCCAAAUCUGGGCAUCGCAGAAAAAGAAUGAGAGAAAGUGAAGAGUGAGUCUGUCUCCUGGUUGUCUGGAGGUGGCAUACUGCCAAUUUGGUAGCCUCUGAACCCAGCAUACAGUAUCAAUCUCCUAGCAAAGAACUUCCUUCUGAAACCUGUUUUCCAAUCCCUCCAACAGAAGAAACAAAGAUUAUAAAGCUGAUCUUCCAAAACGGUGGUCUCGGGGCAACCUACAUCACAAGCCCCUGGUGCAGAAACCUGGAUCCCAGCAAAAAAGCUCAAUCUACUAUAAUCAAUUUCGAGUGGGGACUAGGAAUCUGCAUUUUUAACCAGCUGCCCUGGCAAUUCUGACACACACUAACUUUGGGAAGGGAGCAGCUCCGUUAAAAACCACUGUUGCCCAGCAAGUUAAGUCACAAUCAUUUUCCCCCUAAGCUGGAAUUAGAACUCUCAGGAUCACCUAGGGGAGGUUGUAAGCAUUCUCUGAUAGACCAUUCGGAUUCUUACACUGGUUGACCCAGUUCACACACAGCCACCAGCCUCACGUGCAGGAUGGCUUCGAUAGAACCACCCUCUGGGGGCGGCCUGCCGAUUCUACUUUUAAGCACACAUAUUCUUCGCUCGAAAAGAGGGCGGGGGAGGAGGCUACAAUCAAACUUUCCUGGCCCAUUCUCUUCGAAGAUUCCUUCCUAUUCUGGCUAAGAAUCAAGCCCCGCUCCUGCAGAAGGGGCAAGGAAAGCGGCCGAUUCCUGGGUCGACGAGAAUCUCCCAAGAACUGUCUCGACAGGAGAAGCAGGGGCACCCAUGACCUACAACCCGCGAGGCCUGGAGGUAGCAAAAGGCCGCCUUCGUCAUUUCUCUCCCAGCUUGGAUGGGAGUGAGGGGUUGAGAAAAUGCAGGAUGAGAAAUCCAAAUAUAACUAACUUCUGGCCAACUCUCUGCCUGUAUGACUCUAGGUACCUUGGAGCCAGUGCCAGGCCCUGAGCUCAGAGCGGGCCCCCGAAGAAGCUGCAGAGAGAAACUUCGCUCCAGAGACGCGGCCCCAGGGUCGAAAGGGGCUCGGGGCCCGCAGCCCCCGGCCGGCUGCGCCCAGCACAGCAGGCCCUGGAUCCCGCGGCUCGGCAGGGGGACUCUCACCUCGGCCCACCCGGCCUUCCAAAGGGUCCUUGCGGAAGUGGAUCCCGUGCACGUCCACAUGCGCCUCUCCACCCGCGUUGACCGCCCAAAUGACGCUCUCGGGCAGCCCGGCCCCCGCCGCGCCGGCCACGCCGGCCACGCCGAGCCCGGGUCCCCGGAUCGCCGGCGGCAGCAGCAGCAGCAGCAGUCGCAGGAGCGCCACAGCGGUUCCCUCAACCGCCCAGGCUCCCAGCAUGGCGGCCACCACCACGGGGGCAGCCCCCGCCGACCCUCGUCCUCGGCCGGCUGCCAGGCCACCCCGGACUCAGAAAAACAGCGCCACGGGCCGCUCCGCCUGAGCCGCCGGGGACAUGUCGCUCUCAGGCCUCCUUCUUCUCAGCCACGGAUUCAUGCCUGGCACAAGCCAAGGCACUCAACCGAUUGCUACUCUGAAAUGAAAGUCUCGGCCGGGCACGGUGGCUCACGCCUGUAAUCCUAGCACUUUGGAAGGCCGAGGU